GACGAACGCUGGCGGCGUGCUUAACACAUGCAAGUCGAGCGGUAAGGCCCUUUCGGGGGUACACGAGCGGCGAACGGGUGAGUAACACGUGGGUGACCUGCCCUCAGCUCUGGGAUAAGCCUGGGAAACCGGGUCUAAUACUGGAUAUGACUCCAUGACGCAUGUUGUGGGGUGGAAAGCCUUGUGCGGCUGAGGAUGGGCCCGCGGCCUAUCAGCUUGUUGGUGGGGUGANGGCCUACCAAGGCGACGACGGGUAGCCGGCCUGAGAGGGCGACCGGCCACACUGGGACUGAGACACGGCCCAGACUCCUACGGGAGGCAGCGAGUGGGGAAUCUUGCGCAAUGGGCGAAAGCCUGACGCAGCGACGCCGCGUGAGGGAUGACGGCC
rnacentral:rRNA from 1 species